rnacentral:rRNA from 1 species
AAACCAACAGGAUUGCUUAGUAGCGGCGAGUGAACCGGCAAAAGCUCAGAUUUGAAGCCUCUUUUGGCAUUGUAUUCUGAAGCCUUGGUCCUGGGACCUGGUGCUUAAGUCUUCUGGAAAGGAGCGCCAUGGAGGGUGAUAGCCCCGUGAAGCACUAACCCCAUUGUAGGAUCUUGGCAUGGAGUCGAGUUGUUUGGGAAUGCAGCUCAAAUGGGUGGUAUGCUCCAUCUAAAGCUAAAUAUCUGCGAGAGACCGAUAGCGAACAAGUACUGUGAAGGAAAGAUGAAAAGAACUUUGAAAAGAGAGUGAAAUAGUACGUGAAAUUGUUGAAAUGGAAGGAUAGGCCGCUAACCACGCAGAGUCGUGUUUAGGGGGAGGACAAAAGUCUAGUAUACUUCAUCAUUCUUCGGAGUGAUGUCGUUGCGGUGCAUACUCCCACCUGGGCGCGAGGAUCUAAGACUCUGCUAAAUGGUGGUCUAUCAC